rnacentral:rRNA from 1 species
UACGUAGGCAGCAAGCGUUGUUCGGAGUUACUGGGCGUAAAGGGUGUGUAGGCGGUUGUUUAAGUUUGGUGUGAAAUCUCCCGGCUCAACUGGAGGGUGCGCCGAAUACUGAAUGACUAGAGUGCGGGAGAGGAAAGUGGAAUUCCUGGUGUAGCGGUGAAAUGCGUAGAUAUCAGGAGGAACACCGGUGGUGUAGACGGCUUUCUGGACCGUAACUGACGCUGAGACACGAAAGCGUGGGUAGCAAACAGG